rnacentral:rRNA from 1 species
UACGUAGGGGGCUAGCGUUGUCCGGAUUUAUUGGGCGUAAAGAGCGUGUAGGCGGCCAGGUAGGUCUGCUGUGAAAACUCGAGGCUCAACCUCGAGACGUCGGCGGAAACCAUCUGGCUAGAGUCCGGAAGAGGAGAGUGGAAUUCCUGGUGUAGCGGUGGAAUGCGCAGAUAUCAGGAGGAACACCGAUGGCGAAGGCAGCUCUCUGGUACGUGACUGACACUGAGACGCGAAAGCGUGGGGAGCGAACAGG